GGAUAUGUUUAGAAUGCUUAGGAAAACAUUGGUCAUUCAGAGUACAUUUAAGGUAUUGACAGAAGCACAUGGCAAGACAUGGUCUGAAGUCACAUCACCAGCCAGAAAUCAUAUAUCACAUUGUGCAUUCCAAUUCUAGUUUGAAAUUGAAUCACUCUGUGUCUCCGCCAGCCUUUAUAAAACCAGUAAUUCAUCCAGAGGUUCUUAAAGUUCUGGAGGCGUGUACUGAGACUUUGAUGUUGUACAUGGUAUGGGUUAUCAGAGUGGAACACAGGAUGACUGGGAUGCAAUGUUUUCACUAAAAAAGGAAGAAAUAAAUGCUCAGAAAGAAGAAUUUUUUGAAUGACGACAGAGAAAAUGCAAUUAAGUCAGCACACAAGAAUAUUCAUAUAAAGUGAACAAGAGUUUUAUUAAACCAAGCAAAGAAGGCACUUUAUUGGAUGACCUUUUAAAAGGAACCAAAUCACUAGCUAGUAAGGUA